CCUUUCAGGCGCUCAAUCCCGGCGAGUGCAGGCAUCACUGAAGACCUGACAUCGGAGGAAAUCGGACGUCCGCUCUUCUCUCCCUCCAACUGAUUGACCAGGUGUUCAUCUUGAACAAACUUUAUCUCCUUACGAUGAGGCUGACCAAGCACUCCUGUCGGCGGAGGAUGAUCGCGGCUUUUGCCGCUGGAAGAGACUUUUUGUGUCCAAACGGGGGAAAGACAGGCAGCGAGACAAUAACACCCCGAAGUUACUGUAAUAAAUUGCCAUGAAAUGAGCUGACACAAGAGGUGGAAGCCGAAGAGAAUUGACAGUGUUGGCCUUCACCCAAGAGGCGAGAAGAGGAAGCAGAAGACCCCCUAACUCCAGCGGUGAGCUACGAGGAGAAAUUGACGAGGUCCAGACAUGAAGGAGGCACGCAAGGAUACACACAAACCCAGUGCAAUGGCACCUAGAGGCUGUCUGCGGUCUACCACCUCCCUUCUGCACACGCACACAGACACACACACACACACACACCCACACACUUGCACACAAAGACUGUUACAGUAAGGAACAACAGACCACAGAGUCACGAUGAUAAUCGCAGUUGGAAUUUACGAAAACACAUUCAUUAUCUUUUGCUGCUUUCUUCUUUUACUUCAAAGCCAAAUUCCAAUAGAGAAAUGUAAAACUUUUUGCAAAAAAUUUAUAGAAAAUUAUUGAGAAAACAAACUAGAAUAGCAUCGACUUGAAACCAAUUUUCUCCUUUAAAGUCUAGAUGUUAUGAGCUAUUCAAAAUACGUCUUAUAUCAUGCGUUAAUGUUUGUGACUGUACUUGCGUCAGGGAAAUCUAAAUCUGUUUUUAUCCCCCUUUUUUCCCCGUCCAUUGAACCUAUCCAUACAAGUUUAACCUCCCCACCGCACAUCCCACAACACCUCCGUAACCAACCCGCAUAACCCAACCAGCGCCCCUCCCAGGCUUCCCAGCAUCCUGCCGAGCACACCCUCCAAAAUAAAUCCUUCAAGACGAAAUUACAGUGCAGCUCUGUGGGAAAACCCUCCCUCUUUUCUAUCUCUGCCCCCGACGUCCCUUCCCUAGUCUCCUUGUUGGGCUUCACUUGAUUCAGAGUGCAGAUAAAUUCAUUGUAAAUUAGUCGGUACUAUGGUGAACCACACUAAUUUCAAUUUGUAGUUACAGUUAUUUUUAGAAGGUAUGACUGUAGCCCUCUAUAGAAGCCACCUUUUUGUGUCUGAUUUUAUGCGAAUGGAAAGAGAGGUUGAUAAUUAGUUUGUUUUCAUUUCUAAAAUGAGGUAAUCUUUUUUCUUAAAUUUUUAAUGAACUACUAAUUAGCAUACUAAUUGAGUUUCUUUGAUUGUCCUCUUUAAAUGUAUCUUCUUGUUAUCACUUUGAGCCACUUGGAACGCACUGAAGAGACUACAACUCCUCAGGCUUUUUGUGGGACAAAAAAGAAUGUGCAUGUUUUAGUAUUGCCUUCGGAUUUUUAAAUGUUAUCCAGUGGCCACAGUUAUCUAGAAAUAAAUGUUGCUGUCAAGAGUUAAGAUCCCCAAAGCUGUCAAAUUUGAGCUAAUUAUACAGAUUUGGAACUUAAACUGAAUUAAAAAAUAGACAAAUGCGAGCUAUUUAGUUGAGAAAGCAGCCCUGGUCAUUUCCAGCGUUUGGGUUAACUGACGAAGCCAACCUCACAGCGGCCGUGUCACAGUUAAGCUUUAAUGAUACACUCCAUCAGUUCAGCUUUUUUCCUGCGCGAGGCCAGCUUGGUUAACAGUCGGUUGAGGGUGUGUGUGUGUGUGGGGGUGUGUCGGCGUGUGUAUUUGUGUGCGGCAACUAUUAAAGCACUUGAGAAUCAGAGAGGAAAGAACUCACGCUGCUAAUGGAUGUGUCUAUUGAUGUUCCCAUUUGGCGGCACACUGUAAACGAUAGGGCAAUGAUUGUGCUGAAGAUGGAAGGUGGUGGUGGUGGAGGAGUGGAGAGGAGAGCGGUUUGGCUUGGCGAUGAUAAUGACAAGGAAGGUUAUUAUUCAGCGCCCCAUGGAGUCUCUCUCUUUUUUGCCUUUGUGUGUGUGUGUAUUUGAGAGAGAGAGAGAGGAAGAGGAGUGGUACUCAUCCUCUAUGUCUCUCAGUGAUGUUGCCUUCCCAGUCCAUUGGCUAUUAUUAACUUCUCGCCUUUUCUCUCCCACUCUACACCUCUCCCGACAUUACUUACUGUUGCUGCUCGUCAUCCAUUCAUGGCUGUCUCUUUACCAUAAACACCUUGUUUUCUUUUUCUAAACAGUCCAUAUUUUUAAUCUACAGGUCAUAUCAUUCAUAACAAUGAGUAAAAUAGUCUAAAAGGUAGAAACAAAAGACAAUACUGUGAGCAAAGAAGACAGUUGCAUUCUCAACACAGCUAGGGCCAGUAUGCAGUUAGGAUAGGGUAAAACUAAACCAUAUAGCAUCAUAAGACUGCUUUAAUUUGAGUAAAGUAACAGCUUCCCCCACUGAAAUAAAUAAACUCAUUUCUCAUCAUGGAUGUAACUGUAAUAUUUUAUAUUCCAUUUAUUAAUGGCUAUUUUGAUAUUCAUAAAUAUACACAUUAAGUACACCAAUCUAAAACAAGAAAAAAAAUGUUAGCUAAAUUUAGGGGUAGACUAAAAACCUGGCUCGGUGGCCAGACUACAGUCGUUUGCUUAUCAGUCAUGUUGCUAAUAGCUUGACAGCUAUAGUGUGAAAAUAGUGUUACCUUAAUAAGAUGGCAAGCUAGUACGACAUAUUUUCAGCUAAAUCCGUCUCUUUUGUAAAAUAUAGUAGCUUUUUAUCAGCCAGCUGACAGUCAACAAAGGGUGAGGGGCAGCGUGGUAUUACUCUAUCCAUGAAAAAAAAACAAAAAACUUUAUAAA